rnacentral:tRNA from 4 species
GGGCAAUUAGCUCAGCUGGUAGAGCAUCUCGUUUACACCGAGGAGGUCGACAGUUCAAGUCUGUCAUUGCCCA